rnacentral:rRNA from 1 species
GAUGAACGCUGGCGGCGUGCCUAAUACAUGCAAGUCGAGCGAACGGAUAAGGAGCUUGCUCCAUUGACGUUAACGACGGACGGGUGAGUAACACGUGGAUCGCCUACCUAUAUGACUUGGAUAACUUCGGAAAACCAGAGCUACUACUGGAUAACAUAUUGAACCGCAUGGUUCAGUAGAGCCAGGCACCUUUGCUGUCACUAAUAGAUGGUUCCGCGCCGGAUUAGCUAGUUGGUAAGGUAACGACUUACCAAGGCAACGAUCCGUAGCCGACCUGAGAGGGUGAUCAGCCACACUGGAACUGACACACGGUCCAGACUCCUACGGGAGGCAGCAGUUGGGAAUAUUCGGCAAUGGGCGAAAGCCUGACUGAGCCACGCCGCGUGAGUGAAGAAGGCCUUCGGAUCGUAAAACUCUGUUAUCAGGAAAGAACAUCUGUAUAAGUAACUCCGCACGUCAUGACGGUACCUAAUCAGAAAGCCCCGGCUAACUCCGUG